UGGAUGGAUGUUCCACAGCUUAUUGUAUCGACUCUGCAGUUUCAGCAUGCUUUUGCGGCACAGUCGAUAGCGCGCUGGACUUCGGGCUAGAAGGUCGAGGGUUCGAGACCCGCUCCCUGCCUGUUUCAUUACAAUAUCUAAAUUUAACAGAUGUCGAGCCUCUCAACAUUUGUAACCCAGUGAAGGCCACUAUAUCUGGAAUGGAAACGUAUUUCCGUAUUGCCCCAAUAAUCGUGUCAGAUGUAAAUGUAGCUGUUUGCUCCUCCUCUUGUGGUAUAUUGUAAAACCAUCUACUGUUGAGGACCAUUCAAUAUCGCAGUUUUGUUUCCACGGAUACGUGUCUAGGGGGGGAAAGGGGGGAGAGAGAAAGCACAGGGAGACCGCCGGAUUACGCUCAGACAGACACGAUGCGCGCUUUGGGUGAUUCGCGACCUUAAAACAUUUUCUGUAUGAGAGGCGGAUGCCUGUUGGAAACAGGUCUGGACCUUCUCACCCCCUCUCCGGGUCAACUGUCACACGGACUCACGCUAGCAGAAGAAAAACAGUCUCUUGGGGAAAGCAACAAUCGAUGUUUCAUGCAUCUCUGUCCACAGAAUAAGUUGAUUGACAAGCCCGUCGUCCAAUCAAAUCGAAUCGUCGACCAUGAUUGCAACAGGGGGCCUCCUGCGUAUAAACCGGUGCCAGGACUCCCAGCACUCUAAGAACCAAGCUGAGAACAAGAGGAAGAGGAAACAAGCCAAGAGAAAGAAGAACGAUGUAGUU